rnacentral:rRNA from 1 species
UACGUAGGGUGCAAGCGUUGUCCGGAAUUAUUGGGCGUAAAGAGCUCGUAGGCGGUUCGUCGCGUCGGCUGUGAAAACCCGGAGCUCAACUCCGGGCCUGCAGUCGAUACGGGCGGACUUGAGUGUUGCAGGGGAGACUGGAAUUCCCGGUGUAGCGGUGAAAUGCGCAGAUAUCAGGAGGAACACCGGUGGCGAAGGCGGGUCUCUGGGCAACUACUGACGCUGAGGAGCGAAAGCGUGGGGAGCGAACAGG